UCGUCCCCUUCGGUUGGAUUUGCUGGGCAAAGGACCGUUAGGAGCGAGGCGAAUGAACGCGCUGCGAAUGGGGGAAAACGGCGUUUGAAAAGGGCCUGGGGUCGAGAUCGCGCAGUCUUGGGAACAGCCUUGCUCGCCCAGCCGCGAAGAGAGACGGACGGGAACCUCUGAGAAUUGCCCCCCUCCCCAAAAGGGGUGAUUAAAAUGGCUGUAUUGGCAUCUUGUCCUGAUGACUUGCAAUUAAAAUGUAUUUUUAUACCAUGUUCCUGGAACCGUGUGGGAACCGUGUGGGAACCGUGACCUUCACCUCUUAAGCAUCCCAAAAAUGCUGACUGUUGGAAGACCCACAUAUGCACCUCAACAAAGAGUAAAAUCCAUAAAAAAUCAAAAUAUUUUGGCAUUCUGACUUACAUAUCGGGUGGCUUGUUCAUUGGUUGGUAUGUUUACUGUCGGAGGACUGACGGCAAAAUUAUUUUGUAGGUUGACUCUAGGGUAAUAUAGAAAACUACAGAGAUAUAUACUAUGUAGUUCCCAAUAUAAAAUUUUCAAUAAAAACUAUUCUCUCUCUCUCUCUCUCUCUCUCUCUC